rnacentral:lncRNA from 1 species
AGCCCGGGACAGCGCUGCACCUGUUGCCACGUGCGACGCGGCGCUCAGCGGCUGCCACUGCCGCCGGCGCACCUGGCUGCACCGCGCGUCCCGGGACCACGCUCGUCCCCGCAGGAGCCCGGGGCUCCGCCGCACCCAGCGCUAGGGCCCAGGCCGGGCCGCGUGUGAAAAAAAAGGAAAAAACUGAAAAUCUCAAGAGGAUUCCAGGAAAUCAAAACAAUGAAUUAUUGAAUCAAGAAUUUGAAAGAGAAAAUAGAUGCAUACUGAAAAAAGAAUUUUGUUUAGUGAGAUAGAUGUAAUAAUGAAGGCAUGUUGAUAACGGGGGAGCUAUGUAUAUAUGAGGGGAGGGAUAUAUUGGAAAUCUCUGUAUCUUCCUCUCAAUCUUGCUGUGAUCCUAAAACUGCUCUAAAAAAUAUUUUGAGAAGGAAUAAUGAUGUGGUAAACAUGUUCUGUUAUUUAAAAAGAGAGACUUUUCAUAGCCGCCUCCCUCCCCCUCUACACACACACAGAGUCCUGUCCGUCUUCAUUCCCUUACUCAAUAAUUUGUACAGACACAGCCACUGGGCUCCAGUAAUCCUAAAGUUUCUAGAAAAUCAAGCACAGAAAAAGGUUAAAACCCUGAGGGAAUAAAAGAAUUCCUUUGCAUCCAUUGCAUUUCUCAGGAAGUGAACUAACAAAUUCACUGCUUUUAAAUGAGGAAAUUUUCUCAGUGAAAUUGAUUCCAAACCUUCGUUAGGUCAACUGUUCCCAGAUUUCUUAGCUGAUGCCUGAUCUGACUAUUCCUUAUCUUUAGUACAGAAACCAAGGUGAAUGACCUUUAAAAAACAUAUUAGACUGUUGACGUGUCUUCUAUGUUGUACUCUAGGUAAAAACGAUAAACCAGGAAAAAGAAAGUAAAAUUCAACCUUAGGCUCAUGGAUCCAGAGUGGAUAAUUAUGAGUCUGUAGUAUCUACAUGCAUGUGAUGAGGUUCAAGGACAAUAACCAUAAAGCAAAGACUUAAAAGGUUUUAUCAUUAGAAUAAUUGUAAUUCACUUGAUCUCUCAAUGUAACAAUACUUCGGUCUACUGUCUCAAGCCAUUAUUAUGUCUUACACUCAGCAUAUUGGUUUGUCUACCAUUAAAUAUUUAUUUUCUACAGUGCUUUCUGGAAGGCAAACAAAGCAGCCACUCUGCUACUUUAUAUUGAUUCCUGAGUUGUCCUUCGGAAACGCUUUCAGGAAGUUUAAUAGGUUUGAAAGAUAUUUAGACCUGUGACUGGCAAAUAUACUUCCUUCUUUUUAUUUCAAUAAGAGAGUACUAGAACUUAGAUCUUUAUUGUUUAAUCUAGUCAGUGCUGUCAUUGUCAAUCAAGUUCUCAAAUGACACUUGUCCUGAGCUGUAACUGAUCUAUUCAGAAGAAUAUGAAAAUAGUAAAGACGGCAACUAUGCAUGUUUUUACCGGACACGAUUUUAAUUGCUUUAAAAUGAAGUUAUGCAACCAAUGAGGAAUGGAGCUUUUGGAGUGGCCUGAAGCUAAAGGUUUCAGGUGUAUUUUUGCUUUCUUUGAAGAAAGAACCAAAUCAUUUUAUUUAAUAAAAAGGCCAUUUAUCAAGAAUUUCUUAAAGCUGUUUUAAACCUGAGUUUGCAAUUUAUAGAAUAUGUUCAAGCAGCCUCAGUGCCCUUUUAAUUGGAUGGUUUUCACAGAUUUAUCCAAUUUGAGAUUUAUCCAGUGAGAAUUCCCUUUGUUCAAGUAUAUAUGUCUUCUCUUCCAUAAAGCAGAUUCAAAUGAAAGAGUGCAAUCUGAUAUAUCAGACAUGUCAGUUAUACAUUUGAUGUGGUAAAUUUAUAAGAGAGGCCAAUUAUUGUUAUGAAAAAAUACAAUGAAAUACAUGAUAGUCAUUUACUGUUUUUAUAACUAAUCUAAAAGUAUUUACUAAAAAGAAACUAUUUCUUUUCAUAUGUACUUUACUUUUUACUUUAACCCUUCAUAUGUCCUUUAAAUAAAGAGAAGAAAAAAAGUCAUUUAUAUUUAUCCACAUAUUUUCUAUUUCAGGUGGUCCUCAUUCAUUCUUGUAGAUCCAAGUUACCAUCUGUUAUUAUUUUCUUUGUCACCUGAAGAAUUUUCAGAACUAUUUCUUCCUAUAUGUAGCAUGUAUAGAUACUCUAAAAAGUCCAUUAUAUGAUGUAUAAAACAAAGCAUACAAUGUAGUCUC